rnacentral:lncRNA from 1 species
CUGGACCGCCAGCAACAAAGACACUCUAUUUUCAUUAAAGUGGUACCGUAGGGUGUCCAGAUGCUGGAUUUCUAUUAAAGGAGUGGCAAUGGAAUCAGAGGUAAAAAAUUUAUAAUUUUUAUGUAAUUUUAAAUAAUACCAGCCUCUUUUAAAUUGUACAAUUUUUUAUAUCUAUUGCAGGAGAUGGUCUUGAGCAUAUGUAUGCUAUUGCUACCAACUCGACCGGUCUUGAGCAUAUGUAUGCUAUUGCUACCAACUCGACCACUGGGAGCAUGACGGCUAUUUGCGACCUUAUACAGUCCGUAUCUUUUUGUACGAUGGAAGAGAGACAACAUACACAGUUGCCAGCUCCACAUCCAGCACCUCCUAGCACAGCUGACUCAGAUGACCCACCUAUUCUAGAGUCAGUUUCACGUGGCACUAGGAGUAGGAGUCGUGGUCAUACUAGGGGUCGUAGAAGC